GACGAACGCUGGCGGCGUGCUUAACACAUGCAAGUCGAGCGGAAAGGCUCCUUCGGGGGUACUCGAGCGGCGAACGGGCGAGUAACACGUGAGUAAUCUGCCCUGCGCUCUGGGUAAGCCACCGGAAACGGUGAUUAAUACCGGAUAUGACCGCUAAACGCAUGUGUUGGUGGUGGAAAGUUUUUCGGCGCAGGAUGUGCUCGCGGCCUAUCAGCUUGUUGGUGAGGUAAUGGCUCACCAAGGCUUUGACGGGUAGCCGGCCUGAGAGGGUGACCGGUCACACUGGGACUGAGACACGGCCCAGACUCCUACGGGAGGCAGCAGUGGGGAAUAUUGGACAAUGGGCGGAAGCCUGAUCCAGCAACGCCGCGUGAGGGAUGACGGCCUUCGGGUUGUAAACCUCUUUCAGUACCGACGAAGCGAAAGUGACGGUAGGUACAGAAGAAGGACCGGCCAACUACGUGCCAGCCGCCGCUGUAAAAC
rnacentral:rRNA from 1 species